rnacentral:lncRNA from 1 species
GGUUGUCAAUAUAUGUAUUUCAAAACACAGUCUCCAGGUAUCCAAACUUCCCAAGGAGAUAAAAAAGAAUCUUUCAGUGUGAAGGCUUGUUACGUCUCAAAGAUAGCAUGCUGGUACUUUGCAAGGACAGAGCAAGAAGGCAGCAUCCCGAGAGCUGCACAACACACGAUUUCUCUGACACCUUGUCCUGUCGCAGCUCGGGGGUCUUUAGAUUUCUGUUUUCUUUCUCUUCCUCUUUUGCAGCUUCCCAGGGUGAUGCAACCAAGUCCAUUGCUCAGAGUUUUCUGUGGAGGCAACAGCUGUGUAGUGUGGCCAGAUCUACACUGCAGAGGAAAAUGGUGAGUCUACAUGUUUCCUCUGUCACUGAAAGAGGAUAAUAAUAAUAAUAAAAAAACAUGCUAUUUCUCGCUCUUAGGGACUGGGGGGAGGAGAGUAAUUAGAUGUUGACUAUAGGUGUCUGAGGCUCUUUCUGAGAGAGAUGCUGAGCAUUGUUUCUGAGGUUAGGUUCUUGACCCACCCUGGAAAAAUUAAUGUUCCUCGCCUCACCAGGGACAGGGUGGGAUGCCUUUAUUCUUCAUCACUUGAUGAUGAACUAGAAUAGCUGUCAGUUUAAUGGACUCACUUUGUGAAGACAUCGGAAAGGGAGACAAGAUGUCACCCUGGC